rnacentral:misc_RNA from 1 species
UCCAAAUGGGAAAAUAUUGUAAAAUCAUCCUAUUUGCAUAGUGAUCAUGUACGGUAUUCUGAGGAAUUAUUUCCUCAUGCUUCUCAGCAAUCUAAAAGUUAGAGACUUGAAGGGCUUUUCUACAUACAUCAUUGCUUUCUUUGGAUUUUCCAUAAAACGAUCGAAUAUGGUUCAAAUCUUCCAGCCCCCAUUGUUUUUUACUUGGGUAGAUGAUCCUUCUAUUGCUGCUCAUUCUUCUACGAUGGAAGGUGGAAUCUUGGUUCUUGUUUAAGUUCUGUAAAUAUACAUUGACUUUAAUAAUCGCAUUUGUACGGGGCUGAGGCAAUUGAAUAUUGAGAAUAUCACACCAUUAGAUGCCAUGUAAUUUCUGUUAAAUGUUUUCAGC